GAGGUGAUUGUGAUGGUGUGAUGCUGGUGAAGGUGGUGGUGGAGGUGAUUGUGGUGGUGGUGGUGGUGGUGGAGGCGAUGAUGGUGGUGGUGGUGAUGCUGGUGAAGGUGGUAGUGGAGGUGAUGGUAGUGGUGGUGAUGCUGGUGAAGGUGGUGGUGGAGGUGAUUGUGGGACGUCAAGGAAGUGCCUCGUGGAGAAGGGGCACCGGUGGCGUCCGGCCAGGCUGCUCUGGCAGUGUCUGUCAGAAUCCGCCGGGCCCAGCGGGAGGGAAGCCCCGUGCAAGAGACUGCUGAUGAUGGCAGAGAUCACUCAGCCAGCAAGGGGCAGGAUUCAGAUGUGGGCCCAGGUGAACCCAGCUCCAGACCCUAGCGCUGCCCGUGGCUCUCCCGGCCUCCGUCCCUCCCAGUCAGCGUGUUAACUCAGCUGGGCUGCGUUUUGUAUGUAUCUCGUCUCUGCUCUGAACACUGGACUAGCCACCAACCCACAGCCCCGAGGGCAGAGUCUGCUGGAGAAUUUGAAACAUGGGCCAGGAGCCUCUGACAUCCAAAGAUGGGGGAGAGAGAGAAGGAGAAAGGGUGAACCAGGCUCGGGUGAACCAGGCUCGGGUGAACCAGGCUCGGAUGAACCGUGGAGAACUUGCCAUCCUCCAGAUGGGGUUGGGCACCCUGACCCUGCAGCCCGCUGGCUACUGUGGCUCUGGAAAAGUGUGCAGAUGUGAUGCAGGGUGGCAAGAUGAGCUCCAGACCCAGAGCACUCAGCACCUGGCCCUGCCCCAAGUCCCCUUGCCUGCGGCACCGUCUCUGGUGGCGGGACCGGAGACGCCACCGUCUCCAGGACCGGAGCACCUGGACAUGGUCCUCCAAGUUCUUUUCCCUCCCUUGAGUGUGGUGGGGCGUGUAGUGGUUGGCAUCUUGCAGGCUGCCUUGGGCUGAUCCUGCCCCAGCUGCUGGGGGACCCUGGACAGGUGACCUCACAGGUCCUCGGUUUCCUCUGUUGUAGAGUGGGGAUUAGUCGGACACAAUUCAUAGGGUUCUUGAGGGCACAGAGAGACCAGGUGCAGGCUCUUUACCUUGUACUUGAUCUGUGGUAAACAUGAUCUAAUUCGUCAUCACUGUCAUUACUAUAAUCAUUACUAUAUUGGUCGGCUUCUAUGCAUCUGAUUAUGGUCAAAAGAUCCUCUGCUUUGGAACACCCAGGGUGCUGCCAGGGUGACUCCUAGCGUGCCUGUCAUCUUCAUCUCUGCAGAUAGCGUUUAUGAGACCUGCAUUUCUUAUUCCUACUAGCAGCCCUUUUAUUUCUCCUGUGUACACAUUGUGGUGAGAGAAUAAUGGAAUAAAUUGUUUACACAUCAUGGUUAGAGGAAGAAGGAAUAAGUGCUUGCAUGCUUUUCCCGGCUGACACAGUUAGAGUGUAGGCUGCUCACAAUGAAUCCGAAAGUUCAGUUGUUAGCAGUGUGGGUUCAUCCGCCUUGUAGUGUGGGGCAGUACUUCCUUCCCUUUUGUGGUUGAAUGAUAUUCCAUUCUAUGCAUAUACCACACUCUGUUUAUCCAUUUAGCUGUCGGUAGACAUGUGGGUUGCAUUUAUCUUUUGGCCAUUGUGACUAAUGCUACUAUGAACACUUGUAUACAUUUAUUUGUUUGAGUCCCUGUUUUGUUUGGAGGGUGAACUGAUUUGGGUGAAUUGUUUAUGCAUCUGUUUCAGUUCCGGAGAUUGGAAUUACUGGUCAUAUGGUAAUUCUAGUUUUAACUUUUUGAGAAACCAGACAUCACCUCUUUAAAAAUACUCUCUUCCCCAGUGGUUGAGGGGUAAUGGCAAAGGAGGCAGGGUACCUCCAAGCCCUCGGGGUCUAGGGCGGGUGAGAGUGCAGGCUGUUUCUCACAACAGGCAAAAGCUGCCAGCACUGCACUGGCAUCUGGCAGGUGCUCAACAGGUGUCUGGUAAAUGGAUGAGUGAAUGGGUGGUGGAUUGAUGGGUGGGUGGGUAGAUGGGUGGAUAGACAGAUGAAUGGAUGGGUGGAUGGGUGGAAGGAUGAGUAGAGGGACGGAGAGAUGGAUGGAAGGAUGUAUGUAUCUGGAUGGAUAGAUAGAUGGAUGAAUUAAUGAGCAGAUAGAUGGCUGGGUGGAUGGAUGGACAGGUGGAUAGGUAGAUGGAUGAAUGGAUGAGUGGAUGGAUGGGUGAAUGGGUUGAAGGAUGAGUGGAUAGAUGGAUAGAUGGAUAGAAGGAUGUGUAUGUGCAGAUGGAUGGAUGCAUGGAUGGAUAAGUGAAUGAGUGGACAGACGGAUGGAGGAGUGGAUGGAUAGAGGGUUUAAUGGAUGGAUGGACAGAUGAAUGGGUGAAUGGAUGGGUAGAUGGAUGGAUGGGUGGAUGGGAGAAUGGAUGGAUGGGUGAAUGGAUGGAAGGACUGGUAGAUGUAGAUGGAUAGGUGGACAGAUGGGUGAAUGGAUGAAUGAAAGAGUGGAUGGAUGGAUGGAUGGAUGGGUAGAUGGAUGGAAGCAUGUAUAUAUGCAGAUGGAUUGAUGGAUGAGUGAAUGAGUGGACAGAUGGAAGGAUGGAUAGAUGGUUUAUGGAUGGAUGGAUAGGUGAAUGGGUGAAUGGAUGGAUAGAUGGAUGGAUGGGUGGAUGGGUGAAUGGGUGGGUG
rnacentral:lncRNA from 1 species